rnacentral:rRNA from 1 species
UUCACCUACGGGGGGCAGCAGUGAGGAAUAUUGGUCAAUGGCCGAGAGGCUGAACCAGCCAAGUCGCGUGAGGGAUGACGGCCCUACGGGUUGUAAACCUCUUUUGUCGGGGAGCAAGACCCGCCUCGUGCAGGCGGAGCGAGAGUACCCGAAGAAAAAGCAUCGGCUAACUCCGUGCCAGCAGCCGCGGUAAUACGGAGGAUGCGAGCGUUAUCCGGAUUUAUUGGGUUUAAAGGGUGCGUAGGCGGGACGGUAAGUCAGCGGUAAAAAUGCGGAGCUCAACUCCGUCGAGCCGUUGAAACUGC